rnacentral:rRNA from 1 species
GACAGAGGUGCCGAGCGUUAGGCGGAAUCACUGGGCUUAAAGCGUGUGUAGGCGGACUUCUAAGUACCUUGUGAAAUCCCCCGGCUCAACCGGGGAACUGCUUGGUAUACUGGUUGUCUUGAGCCACUUAGGGGCAGUCGGAACAGACGGUGGAGCGGUGAAAUGCGUAGAUAUCAGGAGGAACACCGGUGGCGAAGGCGGGUCUCUGGGCCGUAACUGACGCUGAGGAGCGAAAGCGUGGGGAGCGAACAGG